GUAAGGAAUAUUGGUCAAUGGGGGCAACCCUGAACCAGCCAUGCCGCGUGCAGGACGACUGCCCUAUGGGUUGUAAACUGCUUUUGCCAGGGAAUAAACCCGGUCACGAGUGGCCGGCUGAACGUACCUGGAGAAUAAGGAUCGGCUAACUCCGUGCCAGCAGCCGCGGUAAUACGGAGGAUCCGAGCGUUAUCCGGAUUUAUUGGGUUUAAAGGGUGCGUAGGCGGCACUUUAAGUCAGGGGUGAAAUACGGCAGCUCAACUGUCGCAGUGCCCUUGAUACUGAAGUGCUUGAAUGCGGUUGAAGACGGCGGAAUGAGACAAGUAGCGGUGAAAUGCAUAGAUAUGUCUCAGAACACCGAUUGCGAAGGCAGCUGUCUAAGCCGUUAUUGACGCUGAUGCACGAAAGCGUGGGGAUCGAACAGG
rnacentral:rRNA from 1 species